GAGUUUGUUUCAUGCCUAUCUCUUGGUAACAUAAAGUCCUGGAGUUGAUAUUUGAAGCAACACCUGGGCAUACCAUGAGGAGGAAAAAAAACCAGAAAAUUCAGUAUCUUCACAGUGCUCAGGCAGCGAGGCAGAGAUCUCAGACUAAAGUACAUGAGAAUGCUAUCUCUGGAAAACUUGAGUACUUUCUGGUGCAGUGAAGCAGAGUCAGACAGUGUAAAGAGUCAAGCUUUUGAAUCCUGACUAUUCCACUAACUACUUUGUGAGGGCCAGUUAUUUCACCAACCUGGGCCUCAGUAGCAUCUGUAAAACAAGAGCAUUGGCCCAAAGGCAUUCCAAGGUUCCUUCCAAUUCUACAUCUUUGAUCCUCUGACCUGAAGUAUGACAGUUACUGAAUUCAAGAAGUUUCAUCUUUAUCUGGUACUUAGAGCUAUAUUCAUGAAAUGAUUGGUACCAGAACAUCCUCCACUGGCCCAGAAUGCAUUGGCUCUACACCUUCUUAUCCUGUGCAAUCUAAGACAUACCUGUACUUGACCAGUUCUUUUAUAUCACAUCUCAUAUGCAAGUCAUCAUUGAUUUAUCCAGGGGUCCUCCUAGCUCUAUCCUAAAGCACUGUAUCUGAUGACAAGCUAGGAGGGUGAGAAGGAGGAGGACUUCCAGGAUAUUGGAAGAGGAAUACAAUGAAAAGAAACUGCAAAGAAGUGGUUGGUCAAUAAUUACUGCAUUUAAAAUAGGCAUCCAAAUGUAAGUUAAGUAACGUGAUCUCUAAAUACAUAGAGAUUAUCCUUCACCAUUUAUAAUAAUUGCUUCAAUUCAUAUGCUGCUUUAUGAUUCACAAUGCCCUGGCCUUUCCCCAAAAUAACCCAUCAAGAAGAAGAAUACAAUUAUCAUCUCCAUCCUACAGCUGGGACACCCCGGCACUUAAGCAACUCUCUGCUAGCUAAUUAAAUAGCCAUGUUUCAAAAAACUGUCUCCUG